rnacentral:rRNA from 1 species
CGCGAAUGGCUCAUUAUAACAGCUAACAAAUCUACUUGAUCUUGACACAAUCCUACUUGGAUAACUGUGGUAAUUCUAGAGCUAAUACAUGCAUUAAAGCUCUGACCUUCGGGGAAGAGUGCAUUUAUUAGAACAAAACCAAGCGGCUUCGGCUGUUUUCGGUUGACUCAUAGUAACUGAGCUGAUCGCAUGGUCUUGCACCGGCGACGUGUCUUUCGAGUAUCUGCCGUAUCAACUUUCGAUGGUAGUGUAUCUGACUACCAUGGUGAUCACGCGUAACGGAGAAUAAGGGUUCGACUCCGGAGAGUUCGCCUGAGAAAUCGCGAACACAUCUAAGGAAGGCAGCAGGCGCGAAAAUUACCCACUCUCAGCACGAGGAGGUAGUGACGAAAAAUAACGAGACCGUUCUCUUAUGAGGCCGGUCAUCGGAAUGGGUACAAUUUAAACCCUUUAACGAGUAUCUAUGAGAGGGCAAGUCUGGUGCCAGCAGCCGCGGUAAUUCCAGCU